GUUGUCGUGGCCGAGUGGUUAAGGCGAUGGAUGGACUUGAAAUCUUUUGGGAUCUUCCCGCGCAUGUUCGAUUCCUGCCGACAUCG
rnacentral:tRNA from 1 species